AGGCUUAAUACAUGCAAGUCGUGGGGCAGCAGGAGUAGCAAUACUUGCUGGCGACCGGCAAACGGGUGCGUAACACGUACACAACUUUCCUUUAAGUGGGGGAUAGCCCAGAGAAAUUUGGAUUAAUACCCCGUAAUAUUAUGAGAUGGCAUCAUUUUAUAAUUAUAGCUUCGGCGCUUGAAGAUGGGUGUGCGGCUGAUUAGGUAGUUGGCGGGGUAACGGCCCACCAAGCCUUCGAUCAGUAGCUGAUGUGAGAGCAUGAUCAGCCACACGGGCACUGAGACACGGGCCCGACUCCUACGGGAGGCAGCAGUAAGGAAUAUUGGUCAAUGGACGCAAGUCUGAACCAGCCAUGCCGCGUGAAGGAUUAAGGUCCUCUGGAUUGUAAACUUCUUUUAUUUGGGACGAAAAAAGGGAAAUCUUUCUCACUUGACGGUACCAGAUGAAUAAGCACCGGCUAACUCCGUGCCAGCAGCCGCGGUAAUACGGAGGGUGCAAGCGUUAUCCCGGAUUCACUGGGUUUAAAGGGUGCGUAGGCGGAUAGGAAAGUCAGUGGUGAAAUCUUCGAGCUUAACUCGGAAACUGCCAUUGAUACUAUUAUCUUGAAUAUUGUGGAGGUGAGCGGAUAUGUCAUGUACCGGUGAAAUGCUUA
rnacentral:rRNA from 1 species